CCAGUGGCGAAGGCGGCUCACUGGACCGGCAUUGACGCUGAGGUGCGAAAGCGUGGGGGAGCAAACAGGAUUAGAUACCCUGGUAGUCCACGCCGUAAACGAUGAUAACUAGCUGCCGGGGCACAUGGUGUUUCGGUGGCGCAGCUAACGCAUUAAGUUAUCCGCCUGGGGAGUACGGUCGCAAGAUUAAAACUCAAAGGAAUUGACGGGGGCCUGCACAAGCGGUGGAGCAUGUGGUUUAAUUCGAAGCAACGCGCAGAACCUUACCAGCGUUUGACAUCCUCAUCGCGAUUUCCAGAGAUGGAUUUCUUCAGUUCGGCUGGAUGAGUGACAGGUGCUGCAUGGCUGUCGUCAGCUCGUGUCGUGAGAUGUUGGGUUAAGUCCCGCAACGAGCGCAACCCUCGCCUUUAGUUGCCAGCAUUUAGUUGGGUACUCUAAAGGAACCGCCGGUGAUAAGCCGGAGGAAGGUGGGGAUGACGUCAAGUCCUCAUGGCCCUUACGCGCUGGGCUACACACGUGCUACAAUGGCGACUACAGUGGGCAGCGACCUCGCGAGGGGGAGCUAAUCUCCAAAAGUCGUCUCAGUUCGGAUCGUUCUCUGCAACUCGAGAGCGUGAAGGCGGAAUCGCUAGUAAUCGCGGAUCAGCAUGCCGCGGUGAAUACGUUCCCAGGCCUUGUACACACCGCCCGUCACACCAUGGGAGUUGGAUUCACUCGAAGGCGUUGAGCUAACUCGCAAGAGAGGCAGGCGACCACAGUGGGUUUAGCGACUGGGGUGAAGUCGUAACAAGGUAGCCGUAGGGGAACCUGCGGCUGGAUCACCUCCUUUCUAAGGAUCGUGACGAAAGCGCCAACGCUUGACGUUGGAAGAGCUUCGUCAUUUCCGCAGAACAUUAGCCGCCGUCCUCAUGUCCCUUCAUCACUAGAGAUCAACAGCUUGAUGCUGUUGAGCCUUGAGCUGGCUUACGCCGUCUGCGGCUUUGGCCGCGCACGAGAGUGGGCUUGUAGCUCAGUUGGUUAGAGCACACCCCUGAUAAGGGUGAGGCCGGUGGUUCGAGUCCACCCAAGCCCACCAUUCUCGCGGGGCUUCAAGGGGCCUUAGCUCAGCUGGGAGAGCGGUUGCUUUGCAAGCAUCAGGUCAUCGGUUCGAUCCCGAUAGGCUCCACCAUUCGCCUUUGGCGAAUGGUCUUUUGAUGGGUGCUCAAGCGCCGCCGAAACGCAUCCGCGUUUCUUGGCUUGCGCGCCACAAGGCGCGGCGCGCGUUCGCGCCCUUCGACUGACUGACAAGUCAGUCGCUCAGGACAGGCUUGCGAACCCUUCGGGUUCGUUGGAGCGCUGACGACGGGUUGGCCAUCAGUAUCUCUAGAGAUGAAGAGUAGCGGUUUGCCGCUCCAGCGAUGGGGUGGCGAUAUGGCUCGCAAGGCGGGCCUCUUUGACAUUGUGAAUGGGUUUUUUAAUCGAUGCCGUGGUGCGGCGCCGGUUGAUGGUGGGGAUCGAAAGAUCCUCAAGAUCGACAGGUGUUCGUAAUCACAAAUAUAUCUGGCUGAGUUAAUGACCACAUGCGCCGGGACGAUCCGUCAGGAUUGUCGUUGGUGGUGUGGGCUCUCAAGCGUGAGGUAAGGGCAUCUGGUGAAUGCCUUGGCAUGUACAGGCGAUGAAGGACGUGGCACGCUGCGAUAAGCGUGGGGGAGCUGUGAGCAAGCUUUGAUCCCGCGAUUUCCGAAUGGGACAACCCACCUUCACCAUUUAAGACUGGUCCAGCCUUCUGGCUGGCCCCGUGUUAAAUGGGAGAGGUAUCACUAAGCUGAAUAAAAUAGGCUUUGGUGAAGCGAACCCGGAGAACUGAAACAUCUCAGUACCCGGAGGAAAAGACAUCAACCGAGAUUCCGUUAGUAGUGGCGAGCGAACGCGGACCAGGCCAGCGCCUGAUAUUUAGUUAGCAGAACGAUCUGGAAAGUUCGGCCAUAGCGGGUGACAGCCCCGUAUGUGAAAGCGAAAUAUCAGGACUUGAGUAGGGCGGAGCACGUGAAACUCUGUCUGAACAUGGGGGGACCACCCUCCAAGCCUAAAUACUCGUACAUGACCGAUAGCGAACCAGUACCGUGAGGGAAAGGUGAAAAGCACCCCGAUGAGGGGAGUGAAACAGUACCUGAAACCGGAUGCCUACAAGCAGUGGGAGGGUCCUUGAGACCUGACCGCGUACCUCUUGCAUAAUGGGUCUGUGACUUAGUGUAUCAUGCAAGCUUAAGCCGUUAGGUGUAGGCGCAGCGAAAGCGAGUCUGAAUAGGGCGCCCAUGAGUAUGAUGCAUUAGACCCGAAACCCGGCGAUCUAGGCAUGACCAGGCUGAAGGUGCGGUAACACGCACUGGAGGGCCGAACCGUUUAAUGUUGAAAAAUUAUCGGAUGAGUUGUGUUUAGGGGUGAAAGGCCAAUCAAGCCGGGAAAUAGCUGGUUCUCCGCGAAAUCUAUUGAGGUAGAGCGUCGGAUGAUUGCCGUUGGG
rnacentral:rRNA from 1 species